rnacentral:snoRNA from 1 species
GAGUUAGUGGUGAUUAGAAAAAUAAUUCCUUGUUCUGACUUGCUCAAUUUGAACAACUUUUAUUACAGUCAUAAAAUCUGAGCUAC